AAGUCGUAACAAGGUUUCCGUAGGUGAACCUGCGGAAGGAUCAUUAUCGAAAAUCAAAGGCCUAGGAGAAAAGAGGGGGGGAUGCGUGAGACUGUCGCUGGCCUUUCGGGGCACGUGCACGUCCCUCUCCCCCCCUCCUGCCUUCGAAGCCCUGAACUUCUCAACACCUGUGUGCACCCACUGUAGGUCCUUCGGGAUCUAUGUCUUCUCUUUCGAACUCUCGCAUGUCUACAGAAUGUAUGCGUCGCGUCGGCGACGGCAAACCUUGUACAACUUUCAGCAAUGGAUCUCUUGGCUCUC
rnacentral:misc_RNA from 1 species